rnacentral:rRNA from 1 species
AUUGAACGCUGGCAGCAGGCCUAACACAUGCAAGCCGAGCGGGGUUUUCGGACCUAGCGGCGGACGGGUGAGUAAUGCGUAGGAAGCUACCCGAUAGAGGGGGAUACCAGUUGGAAACGACUGUUAAUACCGCAUAAUGUCUACGGACCAAAGUGUGGGACCUUCGGGCCACAUGCUAUCGGAUGCGCCUACGUGGGAUUAGCUAGUUGGUGGGGUAAUGGCUCACCAAGGCGAAGAUCCCUAGCUGGUUUGAGAGGAUGAUCAGCCACACUGGAACUGAGACACGGUCCAGACGCCUACGGGAGGCAGCAGUGGGGAAUAUUGGACAAUGGGCGCAAGCCUGAUCCAGCCAUGCCGCGUGUGUGAAGAAGGCCUUCGGGUUGUAAAGCACUUUCAGUAGGGAGGAAGAGUUGAGUGUUAAUAGUACUCAGCUUUGACGUUACCUACAGAAGAAGCACCGGCUAACUCUGUGCCAGCCGCCGCCGUAAGAC